rnacentral:rRNA from 1 species
AGUGAACGCUGGCGGUAGGCCUAACACAUGCAAGUCGAACGGCAGCACAGUAAGAGCUUGCUCUUACGGGUGGCGAGUGGCGGACGGGUGAGGAAUACAUCGGAAUCUACUUUUUCGUGGGGGAUAACGUAGGGAAACUUACGCUAAUACCGCAUACGACCUACGGGUGAAAGCAGGGGAUCUUCGGACCUUGCGCGAUUGAAUGAGCCGAUGUCGGAUUAGCUAGUUGGCGGGGUAAAGGCCCACCAAGGCGACGAUCCGUAGCUGGUCUGAGAGGAUGAUCAGCCACACUGGCACUGAGACACGUUCCCGACUCCUACGGGAGGCAGCAGUGGGGAAUAUUGGACAAUGGGCGCAAGCCUGAUCCAGCCAUACCGCGUGGGUGAAGAAGGCCUUCGGGUUGUAAAGCCCUUUUAUUGGGAAAGAAAAGCAGCAGGUUAAUACCCCGCUGUUCUGACGGUACCCAAAGAAUAAGCACCGGCUAACUUCGUG